AUUGAACGCUGGCGGCAGACCUAACACAUGCAAGUCGAGCGGCAGCGGGAAAGUAGCUUGCUACUUUUGCCGGCGAGCGGCGGACGGGUGAGUAAUGCCUGGGGAUCUGCCCAGUCGAGGGGGAUAACAGUUGGAAACGACUGCUAAUACCGCAUACGCCCUACGGGGGAAAGGAGGGGACCUCGGCCUUUCGCGAUUGGAUGAACCCAGGUGGGAUUAGCUAGUUGGUGGGGUAAGUGGCUCACCAAGGCGACGAUCCCUAGCUGGUCUGAGAGGAUGAUCAGCCACACUGGAACUGAGACACGGUCCAGACUCCUACGGGAGGCAGCAGUGGGGAAGUAUUGCACAAUGGGGGAAACCCUGAUGCAGCCAUGCCGCGUGUGUGAAGAAGGCCUUCGGUUGUAAGACACUUCUAGUGGGGAGGGAAGGGGUA
rnacentral:rRNA from 1 species